AUUACUAAAGAACAAUUGUACAUGUACACAAAGAGACGUUAUCGGUACUAAAUCCAAGACGCAACCUAAUAACCGAUUCAAUCAGAUGUCAUUAUUAUGGACAACAACCUGAUGAAGCGGAUUAUUUGUGUUGCGGUUGAGUUUCGAACCCACAACUGGCAAUUCAAUAAUUCAAUGUGAAGUCUAGACACUGCGCUAUUGAGUUUUUAAAAAAAGGUUG